rnacentral:lncRNA from 1 species
UGCAAGAAAAAACAAUUUCCAUCAACCUACAAACUACCGAUUAUUGACUGCUCAGUUAAUUGCAGAAUUGCCUCUAGACCUUAGCCAGAUAGAACCCCCGAGGGCAUUCAACUUCAUCUACCCAUUUGGCAGAGCUUCUGCUUUUGCUUCGACUUGUCAAAAAACUUUUAAGGAGCCUAUUAGGCCAGUUUAUUCUAAAAACUCUUCUAAUCGGACAAUAUAUUUUUAGAAAAUCAUUUAAACAUGUUAAAAAAAAAACUUCUUAAUCUUCGAAGUAAUUUUUGCCUUACCAAUACUGGAUAUAUGAAGCACUUGAUUUUUACUUACUUUUCUUCCAUAAUCACGUCCAACAUGUCAAACGUGCAUAAAGUAUAGUUGUAAUGACAACAAUUAUCUUGGGAACAUCCAAAAUCUAGUCAUUAUAGAGACAUUUCGCUACUAGAGGAAAUCAUUAUUAGGGAACCGAUGUGUGUAACAUCUAAGUGAAGGGUACACGCUUCAUCAAAGUCACUGGUUUAAAAACCAUACAUAUACACGCGCUCUAAUUACCAAACCCAUAAUAACAACGAUCCUCUCCUCCACAAAAUUUGAGUGGCUCUCAAGCAAAAUCUAUGUCCAUUCCUAUCCAAUUCGCAAAUCUCGUGGAUUAGAGUCCCUUUUUCAUUUCCUUACUUUCUUCAAAUAAAUAAGGAAGACAAUUUCUUCAUUUGACUUUAUCUCUGCAAUAAUAGUUUCUUCAAAUGUUCAUUUAAGAGCAAUAUAAAGCAAGCAUUCGUGACUCUUACCAUAUUUAGCUCCACAAUGACCCUUCAAGUCGGCUACGUGAAUCGUUUCUCAUCACCCCGACGCACUAGAUCCAAUCUAAAGCAACAACAGGCCAAAUGCUACCCCUGCUAGCAUGUUCUACCAUUUUAGUUCUAAAAUGAACAUCAAUUUUAUAGAAACAACCACGAACCAAAACCUCAUUCUUUAUAAAUUUAGGGUCAGCUAGAUGAAUCCUUUUUCAUCACCCCACUAUGUUCGUCACUAGAUCCAGUCUAAAGCAACUACAACAGGCUAAAUGUUAGGUAGUUCUAUCCCUGCUAGCAAAUUCUUCAAUUUUAUCANUCACUAGAUCCAGUCUAAAGCAACUACAACAGGCUAAAUGUUAGGUAGUUCUAUCCCUGCUAGCAAAUUCUUCAAUUUUAUCAAACCAGUUUAAAUCAUGUAAUAAAGAUAAAAGGCUACUGCAAUAUUUCAUCCGGAAAUCCCCAAAAAAUAUAUAAAAGAUGGAAAGAUAAUUGUAAAUUUCUUACAGAGG